rnacentral:rRNA from 1 species
UGCAGUCGAGCGUGAAGGUCUUCGGACUGAGUAAAGCGGCGGACGGGUGAGUAACGCGUAGGAAUCUACCCAGUGGUGGGGGACAACUCGGGGAAACUCGAGCUAAUACCGCAUACGCCCUACGGGGGAAAGCGGGGGAUCCGAUCUUUCGAGAAAGGACCUCGCGCCAUUGGAUGAGCCUGCGUCGGAUUAGCUAGUUGGUGGGGUAAAGGCCUACCAAGGCGACGAUCCGUAGCUGGUCUGAGAGGACGAUCAGCCACACUGGGACUGAGACACGGCCCAGACUCCUACGGGAGGCAGCAGUGGGGAAUAUUGCGCAAUGGGGGAAACCCUGACGCAGCCAUGCCGCGUGUGUGAAGAAGGCUCUAGGGUUGUAAAGCACUUUCAAUUGGGAGAAAAAGCCGUCGGCUAAUACCCGCCGGUCUUGAUGUUACCUUUAGAAGAAGCACCGGCUAACUCCGUGCCAGCAGCCGCGGUA